GACGAACGCUGGCGGCGUGCUUAACACAUGCAAGUCGAACGGAAAGGCCUCAGCUUGCUGGGGUACUCGAGUGGCGAACGGGUGAGUAACACGUGGGUGAUCUGCCUUGCACUCUGGGAUAAGCUUUGGAAACUGGGUCUAAUACCGGAUAUGAACUGCCUUUAGUGUGGUGGCUGGAAAGUUUUUUCGGUGCAAGGUGAGCUCGCGGCCUAUCAGCUUGUUGGUGGGGUAUUGGCCUACCAAGGCGUCGCCGGGUAGCCGGCCUGUGAGGGUGUACGGCCACAGUGGGACUGAGAUACGGCCCAGACUCCUACUGGAGGCAGCUGUGGGGAACAUUGCACAAUGGGCGGAAGCCUGAUGCAGCGACGCCGCGGGGGGGAUGACGGCCUUCGGGUUGUAAACUCCUUUCGACAGGGACGAAGCUUUUUGUGACGGUACCUGUAUAAGAAGCACCGGCUAACUACGUG
rnacentral:rRNA from 1 species